rnacentral:rRNA from 1 species
GAUGAACGCUGGCGGCGUGCCUAAUACAUGCCAGUCGAGCGAACGUAUGAGAAGUUUGCUUCUCUGAUGAUCGGCGCGGGGGGGAGUAAAACACGUGGAUCAUCUCUCUAUAAGUGUGGGAUAUUCGCGAGACACCGGCGAUAAUCCCAGAAAAUAUUUUACACCGCAUGGUUCAAAAAAGAAAGACGGUUUUGCUGUCACUUACAGAUGGAUCCGCGCGGCAUUAGCUAGUUGGUAAGGUAACGGCUCACCAAGGCAACGAUGCAUAGCCGACCUGAGAGGGGGACGGCCCACACGGGACCUGAGCCACGGUCCUGACUCCUACGGGAGGCAGCAGUAGGGAAUCUUCCGCAAUGGGCGAAAGCCUGACGGAGCAACGCCGCGUGAGUGAUAAAGGUCUUCGGAUCGUAAAACUCUUUUAUUAGGGAAAAACAGAUUUGUAAGUAACUGUGCACAUCUUGACGGUACCUAAUCAGAAAGCCACGGCUAACUACGUG